GGUUGGUCCGAGUGCAGUGGUGUUUACAACUAAUUGAUUGCAGCCAGUUACAGAUUCCUUUAGUCCUUCUCUAUGCCCACUGCUUCACUUGACUAGCGUAAA
ensembl:misc_RNA Y_RNA Y RNA